rnacentral:rRNA from 1 species
AUGUGCGGCAACCAUGAAGAGUCACUGUUUCACUCUCUGGUUACAUGCGAUCAUGCAAAACUAUUUUGGAGGGAGGCAGAAGAUUUCUUUGAGCUCAAGUUACCAUGGCUCCACCCAGCCACGUGGUCCAGGGACUUGCUCGAUUCUAGCUUGAUUGGAAGGGACAGGGCGACCAUUGUUAUAUCAGUCAUGUGGACAAUUUGGUCAAGCAGGAAUAAAUACACUCAUGAGGAGAUCAAAUACCAACCCGGAAGGUCGAUGGUCCUGGUUAAGGAACUCAUUCAGGCUUUGUACAUCCCUUCGGAUGCUGGUGAGAAGAGAGGUCUUCCGAAAGAGAGAUAG